AGAGUGUUCAGUUUUAGACGUGCACAUAUGUAUAUACAAUUUGUAUAUAUUUAGGUUAUGGAAAAUUACAUCGGAUCCAGUGAUGAAUAUUCUAUGUCCCGGCGGUAGGUUUAAAAAAAAAAGAAACCGAAAAUCAACGUCGUAACAAUUUGAAGAAUAUUUCAGAGUAGAGCAACUUAGCUGUCAUGACGUUUUAUUAGAUUAGCUUUGAGCAGCUCUGAGAGAGAUGGAAAGAAAGAAAGAAAACACAAAUCAUACUCCGUAUUACGCAACCUCUGAAACUCGCCUUAGAACUUUUAAUAAUGCCAAUAAUUACAUGUGUGUGACUCGUAAAAAGUAAAGGAAUCAGUUCAUGAACAGCAGCAAGUCUUUUGUAGUCCUUAUUGUUUCCUCAAAUCAGGAGGUGGGUAAGUAUCUACUUCAUUGUCGUCAUAUAGGAUUGAAGAUGUCAAAUUUUACUCCGAAACAGCAAGUUUCUUAUAGUGGUGGAGGAUAUCCCCCUCCUUAGGGAAGAACUUUAAUGAGAGGAAGAUAAUAAACACUAAUUUGAUCCCUCAUUAAUUUGGAUGGGCCCUUCUGACCUUAAUUUUCAUCAAGAAAGGAUAUAAUAAUCUAUUUCAGGAUAAUUAGUUAACGAGUUUUCCUAAAUUACAUACUACAAUAUCAACAUAUAGGAUUAUAUACACGAUAUCUUUAUAAAUGGUAAAACACGUUCCUGUUUUCGAGGAAGAGUUAUCUGGAUAAGAGUAAAAAGAUUUAUCAUAUUCUAUUCAUAUAUAGCCUUAUAAAGUUAUAGGGAUUUCCCGUUGGUCCGACGGGAUGGUUUCUCUCGCCACAAAUGAAAUAAGCCUGUCAAUUACUCUUCCUAAGUCAUUUUCCUUAUCCCAUUCAUUCCAAUCCUUACUUUCAUCCUUUGGCCAAAACUCUAAAAACUUUUAAAACGCAACGUUCAUAUGGGUAACUCCUUUUGUCGGUUCCUUUACUGUUAAUCCCAUCAUUGACUCGGCAUAAGCCUCAUAUCAAUAUAUUCUAUGAGUCGGAACGUCUUGAUUGAUAAUCUCUUAAUAAUAUAAAUUUGACAUUUCAAUUUUUUCAAAUAGUAUAGAAUUAAAGCUUAAGGAAAAACGAAAAAUCCAUUGCUGAAGGUGAUCAGAUUAUGGAAUUUGUGAGCUCUUUAAUUUAAAGUAUUGUAUUAAGAUGAUUAUUAUAUUACAGAUUUAGUGUUUCUGAAAUCUUCAUCUAAAAUAAUGGACACUGUGACUGGUCAAUUUAAUUGCUUGCUCGAACUUCAUAUAGUUAUUAAGAAAGUUACAAUGACUUUGCUUCAUCAAUAUUUCAAGAAAGUUAGAUGCCAAUUCAGAAUCCAACUACUGAGCAAUAUUGAUACCUAUUAUAAACGAUCGGAACAACGGGAAUUUCAACGUCCAAUUAAACGUAGUGUAUUGCCAUUUUAAAAACGUUAAUAUUAUAUUAAUUCAACUAUAAACCUACUAUUUAGAUGGUCUGUUCUAAAUAGUCUCUAAUUAUUUGAUUUUAAACCGCAAAACCUAAUCAAAUAAGAAAAUUUGUGUUGAAUAUGUAUAGUGAUAGUUAUUUUUUAUACUUUUAUAAUACAAUUUUUAUAAACUAUUAUAUAUUGUUAAAAUUUCUUGUUGGUUGUGUUUGAUAGUUAUUGUAUAAUAAAGGUUUUUUUUAAAUAAUAUAUAAAACAAUACAUAAAUUACUACUUUCAAAGCUCUCCAGUUUUGCUAGGAAAUCUAUGAAAGAAGCUUUUUAUGCUCAUUAACAUCUUUUCAAGCAACUUUCCCAAUUUUACAAGAUAGAACUAUUUAUGUAGAUGACAUCUAUCUUUCUGAUGAAAAUACUGUUAUAAAUUUUGUAUAAAAUAAAUUUAGAAAAUU
rnacentral:lncRNA from 1 species